CUUUUGUGAAGACAACUGUAACCAGAAUAGCUUAAAAAAGAAAAGCAGCACUUACUCAAUGGCUGGCCCAGUGGUAAUAUCAUUUCUGCUUUUCGGAUUCCCCCUCUGUGGUAAAGGCAGCAGCAUCCCCCCCCCACCACCCCAGGCUGACAGCAGCAGUUUUCUUGCCAGAUUUUGCCCUCCCACCCUUCCUUCCUUCCUUCCUUCCCCCCGUGAAAAAAGACAGGGAAGUUGUAUCUUGCAAUAAGACCAGUAAACCCACCAGAUCUCUGCAGAGGAGCAGCUUACUUUGUUCAUUUCAGAUUAAAGAUGAUUUCAAGCAACAUCAGUGUAUGGGAACUGCUGAGUCACGGCCUGAACCUCUGAUUAAUCACCUGAGGUGAGCAAUGAGUCAGCCCUGGGAGCACAGGUGAAAGCAAUUCACCUGUGCUGCAGGAAGGGGUGGAGCCUGGCUCCACCUCUCCUAGACCCAUUUAAGAGCUGACUACCAGUGGGGAAGGUUCUCUCUCUCUUUGGAAGAUCCACUCCACUGGAGUUUUCUGAGCAAGCCCAUGACAUGGGAAGAAGAAAAGCCAACACAGACCCAUCAGAGCAGAGCAGAAGGACCCAGGCAGCAGCUCCUGCACCUGGGUUGGUGGGGUCCCACCCUGACCACCUCUCCUGACCUCCAGAGGUGUUUUCUCACUAUUAAAGAUGAAAAAGUGGCUAAGUAUCCCAGACGGAAGACAAGUGCCAUGCAUAUCUCUGGUAUAAAUAGUCUGGCUGUGCGAUCUUUUGCCCAAAAUGCUGAUGGGAGGGAGUUUUUACAUUAAUUCAACAUGUCAGCUUUUCCACAAGCCAUCUCUCCAAGCAGGGACCCCAGCGUGCUCAGCUCUGCCUCUGUCAGUAGCACUCUGCUGAUGAAACUGAUCAAGGGCUGCUUGUGGCUGGUCAGAGGAUACGAAGGCUCCUCUGAAGGGUGAAUCAGCCCCUUCUGUGGCCCAGGUUGUUGUCUGGCUUGAUAUUUUUGGAGACAGAUGCAUGUUUUUAUGCACAGAGGCAGCUCAGACCCCAAUGAAAAUGUUGCUUCAUCUAUGAAAGCUAAAAGGAAAAACCCUGAGAAAGUGAAGAAGUGUGGCCUCUCAACCUCCUGGUGGCAAAACUUUACUUGAUGGCUUUUCAUCAACUGCUGCUCAAGGCAAUAGCAACCUCCUCCUUUAUCUAUGUGAGCACCUGGUUGGACAUGCUUGACUGAUUGCAGUGUUGUUGUGUGCAGCUCCUUUGUGCUUCACAAUCUGCUUGUUGUGUCAAGGCCCAGUUAGAAUCAUAGAAUCAUUAAGGUUGGAAAAGACCUCUAGGAUCAUCUAGUCCAACCAUCCACCUACCACCAACAGUGCCACUAAACCUUGUCCUUCAGGACCACAUUUCUAUGUUUCCUGAGUACCUCCAGGGACAGUGACUCCACCACUUCCCUGGGCAGCCUGAUUACACUUUUGGAGAAGAAAUGUUUCCUAACAUCCAACCUGAACCUUCCCUGGCACAACCUGAGGCCAUCACUUCUCAUCCCAUUGCUUUACCUGGGAGAAGAAGCCAACCCCUCACCUCACCACAACCUCCUUUCAGAGAGCUGUAGUGAGUGAUAAGAUUUUCCCUGAGCAUCCUCUUCUGAAAACUGAACAAUUUCAGGUUUAGAAACUUUAGAACGUAGAUGAGAACUGAUCCUAUACAUUUCUAGGCUAUUACCCCCGAGGAUGCAGCAGCAGAGCUGAACACAGAGAGCUCUACAUACAACAUCAGCAGGUGGCAGAGGCGUGGUCUUUACUGUGUAAGGAUCAGCACCCAGUCAAAAUGAGUAAAAGUCCUUCAAAAAGUCCCAUUAGUGGGCAGCUUUCUUCUUCUUCCCCUUGUGGGUUUUGGCCAGCUGCAAGAAAGUGGAAGGAGAAAGGAGAAAGUGAGCAAACCAAGGGGAACACCACCGUGCCCAAGGCUUGCCUGCACUUCAAGUUGGAAAAAAGUGCCUGGAAAGUGGCACUCCUGAAGAAAGGAGUGGAAAGGCAGCUCUUGCCUCUUUGUAAAGCCCCUGAUAGUUUUGCUUGAGUCAAUCUGGUUGGGGAGAAUUUGUGGCAAUAAGCUGGGGUCGCCUGGCUUGUGCUGCCAGGCAUCUUCUUCAGCUCAUCCUUUCAACUUUUGUAAGGGAUGUGCGUGUGCCUCCCCCUCCUCCCAUAUACGUUACACUUUCAGAUCAGUUUUAAAAGUAACCUCUUUAAUAUUGAAUUAUUCCUGAUCUCUAUCGUCACUUCUAGCUGAUUAGUUUAAGGACUGUGCUUGGUUUGUUUAAUAACCCCUUGACACUAAACAAACAGUCUUGAAAAGGGAACAAUUUGCAAAACAGAAAGAAAACAAAUAACCUACAAGGGCACUCUCUUCAAAAUAGAAAGACUGAUUACAUUAAAAUACCAAAAUAAUUCCAGACAUUAAAAGAAAGCAUAUAGAUAUUGGCUUAUCUGUAUGCAAGGAAGAUUUAAAAAUACCGCAAAGUUAAAGUUUUCAUUAGCAAUACAGUGAAAUCUCUCAAUUAGAAUUCCUAGAGCAUAUUAAAUGGUAUUUAGUUUCUAACUUGAUGCAUCCUUUUCUGUUAAAUAAUUGAUCAUGGUGCAGAGAUUGUGUUUGUGUAGUUUAAGAAAGCGAUUAGACCAAAGAACAUUUGGUAGGGAAGUUGCAUCAGUAAGUCCAGCACUGCUCCCACAUGCUGCAGAGGUGCUCCUGUAUCAAGGCCAGCCACUGGUUUGGAACAAUGAAAGCUGCUGUGGGUCAUAAGGAGAUAAUCUUGAACACAUUUAGUGGAGUCUGAUGCCUUCAAAGACUCAUAUUGGCCAGGAAUUAAGUGUACGUGAGAUAGAGAAUUCCUCACCCCAAAAUCACACCACUUAAGUGAAAGUAACAGAGAUACUGAUGGAUGACCCAAUGAGGAGCCUACAGGAGUCCUGGCAAAGGCUGUGUGGGAUGUGGUUAGCUUGGAGGGGAACUCUUAGAGUCAUAGUGUCAUAGAACCAUUAAAGUUGGUGAAGACCUCUAAGAUCAUCUAGUCCAACCCGACUGAACCCCCCCCAUCCCCACUAACCAUGUCCCUCAGUGCCACAUUUAUAUGUCCACAACCUCUAGGGAUGGUGACUCCAUCACCUCCCUGGGCAGCCUGUGCCAAUGUCUUACCGCUCUUUCUGAGAAUAAAUUUUUCCAUAUAUCCA
ensembl:lncRNA